rnacentral:rRNA from 1 species
ACGUAAUAGAUACCCAGGUAGUCCACGCCCUAAACGAUGUCUACUAGUUGUUGGUGGAGUAAAAUCCAUGAGUAAACGCAGCUAAACGCGUGAAGUAGACCGCCUGGGGAGUACGGUCGCAAGAUUAAAACUCAAAUGAAUUGACGGGGGCCCGCACAAGCGGUGGAUUAUGUGGAUUAAUUCGAUGCAACGCGAAAAACCUUACCUGGCCUUGACAUGUAACGAACUUUCCAGAGAUGGAUUGGUGCUCGAAAGAGAACGUUAACACAGGUGCUGCAUGGCUGUCGUCAGCUCGUGUCGUGAGAUGUUGGGUUAAGUCCCGCAACGAGCGCAACCCUUGCCAUUAAUUGCCAUCAUUUAGUUGGGCACUUUAAUGGGACUGCCGGUGACAAACCGGA